UCCCUCUUAGCUCAGUUGGUAGAGCGCGUCACUAGUACAAAGUUGUCACAUGACGAGGUCAGUCGUUCAACUCGGCUAGCGGGAA